GCGGGUCCGUUGGGAAUUAAGUACUAAUUAUUAACGUCUUUCUGCCUUCCUAAAGUAAUUUGUUUUUUCAUCCCACAUGUGGGUGGAGAUGCAGUGUGAAAUUUUUCAGACUGAACAGAUUCUAAAGUCGUCCCUCCAGGAGUGUGUCAGCUCACAUGGAGCUGGGAGAUGACUGCACAUCACACGACGUAUUUAGAUAUGAGCAAUCGGAAAUUCAUGGACACUGCUGUAGAUGUGCUGCUUUGGGGAACAACAGUAAGGAAUGCUGCUACUUAAAGAAAACGCAAGUGUUCUCCAGUGCCAGAAAGGUCUUGAGGUGUCAGCACCGUAAGCCCUGCACCGGCAGUGACAGCACCACAAGGAAUGGCUGCAGAAAUCCUGGUCGUGGAUGUGUACAACCUUGCAUUGAGAGCUGUGCAAUGGAGAGUGUUUUCACCAACUUUAAAAUCAGAGACACAAUGGGGAAAUACUCUAUUGAUUUUCAUUAGAACAUUUGAUCCCAAGUUGAUAAAGAAAAGGACAAAGACAAAACAGAAGGUGCUAUCAGCUUCAAAGAUGUUAUGAGCCUUUUGAAGAAUCCAGGAACUCUGGAGGCUUUCAUAUAAGUCCAGGCUUCAGU